AUCAACAAUAGUAACUAGAUUUCGGGUCGGUGCAUAAAAUCCGUCUCGUCAAAUAACAGCGCACUUGAAAUGUGAGCUCUUAUUUUGUUUAGUUCACUUCAAACACAGCCAAUGUCAACCCGUCUCACAAUACCGCAGUGUGUAUUCAAAAGUUGCAAAAAUAAGGCCCGAAAAAGCAAUUUAACGGCCGGAAUAUCUUACAUUCGCUUUCCUAGCAAUCACGUGUGCAGAAUGGAUCUCGAUUGUCGCCAUAGAAACAAGAGAUGACUUUUAUAAGCCAGCUAAGAUCUCCGCUUAUUGACACUGGACAUCUUUGCCUUCCGUGCUCACGGCUACUGAAACGUGGCCGAAACAUUGUAAUAAAAAUACCACGCUUGAAACCGUUUAAA